CUACGGGUGGCACCAGUGGGGAAUAUUGCACAAUGGGCGAAAGCCUGAUGCAGCAACGCCGCGUGAGGGACGACGGCCUUCGGGUUGUAAACCUCUUUUAGCAGGGAAGAAGCGAAAGUGACGGUACCUGCAGAAAAAGCACCGGCUAACUACGUGCCAGCAGCCGCGGUAAUACGUGGGGUGCAAGCGUUGUCCGGAAUUAUUGGGCGUAAAGAGCUCGUAGGCGGUUUGUCGCGUCUGCUGUGAAAAUCCGAGGCUCAACCUCGGACCUGCAGUGGGUACGGGCAAACUAGAGUGCGGUAGGGGAGAUUGGAAUUCCUGGUGUAGCGGUGGAAUGCGCAGAUAUCAGGAGGAACACCAAUGGCGAAGGCAGAUCUCUGGGCCGUAACUGACGCUGAGGAGCGAAAGCGUGGGGAGCGAACAGGAUUAGAUACCCGCGUAGUC
rnacentral:rRNA from 1 species